rnacentral:lncRNA from 1 species
CAAAAAUGGAUAGGACUGGGAAGAAGCCUUCUUUUUAAUACAGAUUCGUUAAUUCUUCUACAGAAAAGAUAGGUUCAUAAAUUCUGUUUCCAUGGUAGGAUUGAUCAGUAGGUUCUUCCAUCCAUUUCUUCUAAGAGUUCAGAUCUCAGCAGAACAGGUCAUGCAACAGCUACUAGAACAGGCAAACUGUUGAGGUUUUUUUCUUUUUCCUUGCAAAAAAAUUUGUUGACUUUUGACAUUUUCUUAGUUGUUAUGGUAUCAAUUCAAAAUAGGAGUUUUAAAAACACAGUUGAUUCCUGUAACAAAACUGUGGAGGUCCUUGUCUUUGAACAUUAGACUUAAGAUGACAUUUGGGGUUCUGGGGUUCUGACUGUGGAACAAUUUUUUUGAAGUUAAGUCCUCAAAAACCUUUUGUUCUUGCUUAUGGCAGUAAGGUAUCUUACAAGACUCGGAAGCCACUGCGUGUGGAUACCUUGUUGUGUUUCUUCCCUAAACUAAUGGGAUCCGAAGCCAGUGUAUUUCCAUACUAUGAACAGGAGUCAUGGUACCAGGGUAGCAAUUCUAGUACCAAAGAAUUGGGAACUGAACCUGAUAACGGGGUGAAGGAGAAGGGGAAAAAUGUGGGUCCUACUGUGUCAUCUGGGUUCUUUGCAGUAUUACUGAAUGAAUUAAUCUCCUUGUCAAAUAGAACAUACCUUGUACUACUCAUUGCUACAGAAUUUUCAAUUAAUAAAAGACUACUAUUGGAAAUAGUGGGAAGACCUUCAGGAGGAUUUGCUGAAGUUGCCCAAUUAUUGCUUCGGCUAACUAAUGAGUUGGUAAGACAUUUUCAGAGGAAUUUCCUUUGAACACAAAGUUGUUUUCCAGUUUUCAUCUAGGCUUCUAAUUUUGGAAUGGUCCAUUGCUUAUUAUAAUCAGGCAAUUGGACAUUUGACUUACAUACUCAAGGCUUGCAAUGAUGAACUUCCCAGGAACUGUGCCUUUCUUUCGGAGUUGCAGCAUGCUAAGAGAACGACUGGCACUUAUUUAAUCCAUGUUCAUAUUGCUCGAAGAAGAAAUGGGCCAAGCUAAUAUCUUCAUUAAAAACAGUGAAAUGCAAAAAAAAUUAACAGACAGUGGAAUAAAGUAGAUCAAACUAGAUUAAAAAAUAAAUUC